rnacentral:rRNA from 1 species
ACAGAGGGUGCAAGCGUUAAUCGGAAUUACUGGGCGUAAAGCGUGCGUAGACGGUUGUUUAAGUCGGAUGUGAAAUCCCCGGGCUCAACCUGGGAAUUGCAUUCGAGACUGAUCAGCUAGGGUGCGGAAGAGGGAAGCGGAAUUUCCGGUGUAGCGGUGAAAUGCGUAGAUAUCGGAAGGAACAUCAGUGGCGAAAGCGGCUUCCUGGUCCAGCACCGACGUUCAGGCACGAAAGCGUGGGGAGCAAACAGGAUUAGAUACCCUGGUAGUCCACGCCAUAAACGAUGAGGACUAGACGUUGGAAGGGUCAGCCUUUCAGUGUCGCAGCUAACGCGAUAAGUCCUCCGCCUGGGGAGUACGGCCGCAAGGUUG